rnacentral:rRNA from 1 species
AUACGGAGGGUGCAAGCGUUGUCCGGAUUUAUUGGGCGUAAAGAGCUCGUAGGCGGUUAGUCACGUCGGAUGUGAAAACCCAGUGCUUAACACUGGGCCUGCAUUCGAUACGGGCUGACUAGAGUGUUGUAGGGGAGACUGGAACUCCUGGUGUAGCGGUGAAAUGCGCAGAUAUCAGGAAGAACACCGGUGGCGAAGGCGGCUCACUGGCUCGAUACUGACGCUGAGGUGCGAAAGUGUGGGGAGCAAACAGGAUUAGAUACCCUGGUAGUCCACGCUGUAAACGAUGGUCACUCGAUAUAUGUUCCUUUUGGAAUGUGUGUCUAAGCGAAAGCGUUAAGUGACCCACCUGGGGAGUACGUUCGCAAGAAUAAACUUAAAGGAAUUGACGGGGUCCGCACAAGCGGUGGAGCAUGUGGUUUAAUUCGAUACUACGCGAGGAACCUUACCUAGGCUAGAAUGUAUUUUGAUGCUCUGAGAAAUCAG